rnacentral:rRNA from 1 species
UACGAGGGGGGCAAGCGUUGUUCGGAAUUAUUGGGCGUAAAGGGCGCGUAGGCGGUUUGGCAAGUUUCGUGUGAAAUCUUCGGGCUCAACUCGAAGUCUGCACGGAAAACUGCCGGGCUUGAGUAUGGGAGAGGUGAGUGGAAUUUCCGGUGUAGCGGUGAAAUGCGUAGAUAUUGGGAGGAACACCAGUGGCGAAGGCGGCUCACUGGACCGGUUCUGACGCUGAUGCGCGAAAGCGUGGGGAGCAAACGGG